UAGUCCACNCCGUAAACGAUGUGCANUAGAUCGAGGGGGUUCUGACGCCAUUUUCGGUCGAAGCAAAAGUGUUAAGUGCACCGCCUGGGGAGUACGGUCGCAAGGCUAAAACUCAAAGGAAUUGACGGGGGCUCACACAAGCGGUGGAGCAUGUGGCUUAAUUCGAAGCAACGCGAAGAACCUUAUCCUGGGUUUGACAUGCACGGAUUAGCUUCCCGAAAGGGAAGUGACACCUUCGGGUGGAACGUGCACAGGUGCUGCAUGGCUGUCGUCAGCUCGUGCCGUGAGGUGUUAGGUUAAGUCCUUUAACGAGCGAAACCCCUGUCGCUAGUUGCCAGCGCGUUAUGGCGGGGACUCUAGCGAGACCGCCGGCGUCAAGUCGGAGGAAGGUGGGGAUGACGUCAAGUCCGCAUGGCCUCUAUGCCCAGGGCUGCACACGUGCUACAAUGGCGGCUACAGAGCGACGCAAUACCGCGAGGUGGAGCAAAUCGCGAAAAGCCGCCCCAGUUCGGAUUGCAGGCUGCAAUUCGCCUGCAUGAAGUUGGAAUCGCUAGUAAUCGCGGAUCAGCUACGC
rnacentral:rRNA from 1 species